GACGAACGCUGGCGGCGUGCUUAACACAUGCAAGUCGAACGAAGAGCGAUGGAAGCUUGCUUCUAUCAAUCUUAGUGGCGAACGGGUGAGUAACGCGUAAUCAACCUGCCCUUCAGAGGGGGACAACAGUUGGAAACGACUGCUAAUACCGCAUACGAUCUAAUCUCGGCAUCGAGGAUAGAUGAAAGGUGGCCUCUACAUGUAAGCUAUCACUGAAGGAGGGGAUUGCGUCUGAUUAGCUCGUUGGGGGGGUAACGGCCCACCAAGGCGAUGAUCAGUAGCUGGUCUGAGAGGAGGAUGAGCGACACUGGAAGUGAGACACGGUCCAGACUCCUAAGGGGGGCAGCAGUGGGGAAUAGUGGACAAUGGGCGGAAGCCUGAUCCAGCCAUACCGCGGAGGUGAAGAAGGCCUGCGGGUUGUAAAGCCCUUUUGUUGGGAAAGAAAAGCAGCAGGUUAAUACCCCGCUGUUCUGACGGUACCCAAAGAAUAAGCACCGGCUAACUUCGUG
rnacentral:rRNA from 1 species